rnacentral:rRNA from 1 species
UACGGGGGGGGCAAGCGUUGUUCGGAAUUACUGGGCGUAAAGGGCUCGUAGGCGGCCAACUAAGUCAGACGUGAAAUCCCUCGGCUUAACCGGGGAACUGCGUCUGAUACUGGAUGGCUCGAGUUUGGGAGAGGGAUGCGGAAUUCCAGGUGUAGCGGUGAAAUGCGUAGAUAUCUGGAGGAACACCGGUGGCGAAGGCGGAUCUCUGGGCCAGUACUGACACUGAGGAGCGAAAGCGUGGGUAGCAAACAGG